GCCGUUGUAGCAAAGCUCGGCCAUGCGCUAGACUCGUAAUCUAGUUCGACGGGGGUUCAAAUCCCCCCAACGGCU
rfam:Arc I group archaeon T1lsi0528_Bin055 AMQ22_contig000269, whole genome shotgun sequence.